UACGUAUGGUGCAAGCGUUAUCCGGAUUUACUGGGUGUAAAGGGAGCGUAGACGGAGUGGCAAGUCUGGUGUGAAAACCCGGGGCUCAACCUCGGGACUGCAUUGGAAACUGUCAAUCUAGAGUACCGGAGAGGUAAGCGGAAUUCCUAGUGUAGCGGUGAAAUGCGUAGAUAUUAGGAGGAACACCAGUGGCGAAGGCGGCUUACUGGACGGUAACUGACGUUGAGGCUCGAAAGCGUGGGGAGCAAACAGG
rnacentral:rRNA from 1 species